AGUGAACGCUGGCGGUAGGCCUAACGCAUGCAAGUCGAACGGCAGCACAGUAAGAGCUUGCUCUUACGGGUGGCGAGUGGCGGACGGGUGAGGAAUACAUCGGAAUCUACUUUUUCGUGGGGGAUAACGUAGGGAAACUUACGCUAAUACCGCAUACGACCUACGGGUGAAAGCAGGGGAUCUUCGGACCUUGCGCGAUUGAAUGAGCCGAUGUCGGAUUAGCUAGUUGGCGGGGUAAAGGCCCACCAAGGCGACGAUCCGUAGCUGGUCUGAGAGGAUGAUCAGCCACACUGGAACUGAGACACGGUCCAGACUCCUACGGGAGGCAGCAGUGGGGAAUAUUGGACAAUGGGCGCAAGCCUGAUCCAGCCAUACCGCGUGGGUGAAGAAGGCCUUCGGGUUGUAAAGCCCUUUUGUUGGGAAAGAAAAGCAGCAGGUUAAUACCCCACUGUUCUGACGGUACCCAAAGAAUAAGCACCGGCUAACUUCGUG
rnacentral:rRNA from 1 species